AGGCCCACAGGGUCCACCAGGAAAACAGGGACCCCAAGGAAGAGAUGGACUUACAGGACCUAUUGGUGUUCCAGGAGUACCGGGCCCAAAGGGAGACACAGGAGAUAGGGGACCUCCAGGUUAAACAUACCAGGUUUCCCACUCAAAUAAUGUUAUAAUAUGUAUUACUGGUUCUUUCAUUCAAAAUUUAAUUUUGGCUAAAUCAUAGCAUAUUAAACCAAUUGGCGCUUGAAGCCCCAUAACCAGUACAGUUCAAUGUUGAGGCAAUGGUAGAGGCUAUGAUAUAAUGAGAUCCUCCCCCCACCCCCUCCUUCCCCCCAUUUUCCAUUAAACAGGGAUUUAAAAAAAAGUUUUCCCAGCCUUGCCUCUCUGCAGUCUCACCAUAGCACUAUUUAGCUAUUUUUACCCUUCAAGGAUAUACAUAGUGGCAGCUGGUAAAGUUUUUAGAUCAUUAGGAGCUAG